rnacentral:lncRNA from 1 species
GGCCAGUCAUCCCUGGGGUCCGGUCCGGUGGUAAUGGUUUCUGUUCAGCACGAAGGAAUUAAACACAACAGUCAACGGUGCUCGCACAAGAGUGCAUACUUCUGCAAUUCUUGAUGCCUCUCCCUCUUCUGCUUCCUCUAAUCUCUGUCCCUGCCAGUCUGGGUCAAGUUUCUGGCACCUGACUUGUUUGCCAGGAAAAAGACAACUGCGGGUGAAGGAGAAAACCCUUUCCUGCAUGCUCGGCUGCCUUCGGAUCCAACGCUCCUAGCUGGGAGAUGGGAAGCUGUGGGCUGCGCAGUGGGUCUUUAUGGUCUUGGAAAGGGGACACCCCACCUUGUGCUCAUCUUUGUAGAAUCUGGGCAAGUUUGGGGGUCCUCAUAAAGAUUUUGAAAUUUUUGAAGUCUAUUCUCUGCCUGUUUUUCUAAAAAAUUCUUCAGUAGGUGAAUAAUUUACUUAACAUUGUGUACUUGGGAGAAUAUGAUGAUGGGGACAGAGCAUGCUGCAUUGCAUGGCUUCUUAGGAAGAAAACACUAUGGGCUGCCCUGCAGAAAUGCAGGCAGAAGCUGUCAUCAGUGAAUGUUGGGAGGAUCCAUAAUGUUGGAUUGGAAUAGAACUAGAGUGAGACUGUUUCAUGAGGCCUUCUCCCAUCUAGAAUCUUUCUCAGGAGUAUUCUGGAUGCUUUGACCUGGAUCAGUUACUGCUUUGGUUUGUGGCAACAUGAAAACUGGCACAACAGGACAAAAAUGAGUUGAUUAUUUCAGCUGAACUUCCUGGGAGUUUCAUUCACAAUAAAGGAGAGGCAGAACAAGUAGAAAACUGGAACAUGCAGCUCCUCAUUAUGCCUUUGUUGUACCAUCCAUGCAGUGAAUGUUUACCAAAUUCACUUUAUGCCUCAUAGCAGGAGGCCACAAGGAGAGUGACUGAGUUCCCAUGGCUACCACAGGAGGCCGCCAGGUGGGACAAAGAAUUCAGGCCAUGAGAACUUCAAAAAGG